GGUGGCCGCAAGGCCCUAAGCAGCUGCUUAGUUCGCGUGUGAUUUAAGGCUGAUUUAUACUCCGGCGUCGAGCCUACGCCGUAGCCUGACGCGAACCCUACGCCUUUCCGUUCGUCUUCCGCCAUUCUGAAGUAAACAUGGAGCGGUUCGAGGAGAGACUUGUCGAAGAAGUUAGAAAAUAUACACAUUUAUAUGAUACAUCAUCACAACAUUACAAAGACAAUAAUAUGGCUGCCAGUUCGUGGCGCGAAAUAUCGUCUAGAAUCGGUUUGGACGUCCUCGAAUGUAUGAAAAAGUGGAAAAAUGUGAGGGACAAAUAUGUUCGCCUACGGAAAAAAAUGUGCAACAAGAAGAGCGGUGAUCCUGGAGGGCAAAAACUACCUGCAUUUUAUACUUUUCUCUCCUGGUUGGCACCACAUGUGAAGCACAGAGAGACUGAGUUAAACUACAUCGAUAAACAGGACGGAGACACUGGCAGCAGCACUACAUCAUCACCGCUUUCACAAGAAGACAUGUCCCAGCCCCAGGAGCAGAGUGUUCCCUUCACAUCUGGCCGACAAAGCCCACCAUGUAUUGCCCUUUCUAGUACAGCCACCCUAGAACAGUCUACUUCAAGCAGUGCAAACAACCGUUCUGUGUUCACCAGCCCAGCUAAAAAGAAAAGACGGGAUCUGGAAGACUGUGGCUUAAAACAGCAAAUGAUGGAGCUUGAAAAACGCAGGUUAGAACUCGAGAAGAGACUCUUUGAAGAAAAUGAUGAGCUCACAAGGUUUGCCCUCUCAAUGGCAGACAUGCUGAGAAGGUUGCCAGAACAAGACAGGCCACAUGCCAUGUUUGAAAUACACAAACUCCUGUACCAGAAGCAGCAGCGUUGCAGCACAGCAUUAUAACACUGAGCACUUGUUUGGCAUUGAUCUUUGUUUGGUACAUUUUUGCAAGUUUAUUUUCAUUUAUUACUGCCAUUUUUAACCUGUUAGUCAUUGUUCUUGUUUUAGUGUUAUUGUUAUACUUUAUAACUAUGCACAUUUGUACAUAAAGUACUAAAGAAAAUUUUUAAGAAGUUUAAUAAAAAAAACACUUUUUUAUACAUCUACUGCAAGCCAAUGUGCUAUUUGUUGUUUUCUGAAGAAAAAUCUUUAAAUUACAUCUUUUUAAAUUCUCCAGAUUAAAAAUUGGAGCAUAGAGCAUGGUUGGCAUGAUUGCCAGUAGAGCAUUAGUUUGAAAAUCUUUUACAAAGACAGUUAAAA